rnacentral:rRNA from 1 species
ACCCUGACGCAGCAACGCCGCGUGAGUGAUGAAGGCCUUCGGGUCGUAAAGCUCUGUCAAGUGGGAAGAACCCUUGUAUCCGGAUAAUGGAUGCAAGCUGACGGUACCACUGAAGGAAGCACCGGCUAACUCCGUGCCAGCAGCCGCGGUAAUACGGAGGGUGCAAGCGUUAUUCGGAAUUACUGGGCGUAAAGGGCGCGCAGGCGGCCAUGUAAGUCAGUUGUGAAAGCCCGGGGCUCAACCCCGGAAGUGCGACUGAAACUGUGUGGCUUGAGUAUGGUAGAGGGAAGUGGAAUUCCUGGUGUAGCGGUGAAAUGCGUAGAUAUCAGGAGGAACACCGGUGGCGAAGGCGACUUCCUGGACCAUAACUGACGCUGAGGCGCGAAGGCGUGGGUAGCAAACAGGAUUAGAUACCCUGGUAGUCCACGCAGUAAACGUUGAUCACUAGGUGUUGCGGGUAUUGAUGCCUGCAGUGCCGGAGCUAACGCAUUAAGUGAUCCGCCUGGGGAGUACGGUCGC